GCUGCAUCACAUACGAAAUAAGUGCCGACCCGCGCAAGUGAACGAGGAAGCUUACCAUUCCGCCGUCGGUCAGUUAUUCAGCUAGGCAGGGCGGUCUAACUACGAAAUCUUGAUUGCAAUGCCCGGACUUGCAUCCCACACUAUUUCUUCUUUCGUUUCAAGACCUAAUAAUAAUAUAAUAAUAAUAAUAAGGCCUUCUUCGAAAGCUUUUCAAAUCACAACAUAAGGCAGACCCGGUAACAUUAGAGUUGAUAAAGUGCGUGCCACACUAUGACAUCCAAUAGCAGAGACAGAAAUCAAGCUUGCAUCUCCGUCUUGGCUAGAAUCCUUCUUAUCUUUCUCCUACAAGCCAAUCAUGCAGUCUAGCUCUACUUGACUACGAUAUAUCUUGUUCUUGUUUUGUUCGAUCACAAACAGUCAAACCAGCUACCGAAAGAGAGAUACUCAAUCCGUUACCAUGACUGAUAGGAUGAUCAAGCAAGGAUGAAAAGCUACAUGUUCCGCUUCUCCUGUUAGUUAGAGAGGAGCAGAGACCGCCCUAUCUUGUUGGUUCUUCUUCUUUCGAACCUUAACCAUGAAAGUAAGUCAAUGUUGGCUUCCUCGAUUACACAGUUGACCACACGCAUUCAACGGUAGGGAGUAAGACCUUCUGUUUACUUACCAUUUGUAACGUAAAUUCAAGGGAUACUCAUCGAGUGGACCAUACCAAGGAAGAUAGAAAGGCUUUUCUGAUCUCAUUGUGGAAGUACCGUGUAGAGAUAGGCACCUUAUCUAUGCAAUAACGAUCUCACUCUUCAAGACAGAUUCGUAAAAGGUCAAUCUACGCCAUGGAAGUUUCAUUGCUGAAUGAUUUGUCUACUACCAACUCCUUCCUUUAUGGGUAGGGCAUCUCUACAUGUGAGACCUUGUAUAAAAAUAUCUCACAUACCGGAUUCUCGAGGAAGAAAGAGAGCUUCUCUCGUCCUUGCUUUCAUGCAUAGCAGACUAACAAGCUGAAAAAUGAUCUCGCUGUACCCGAUCCCCAAGCACUGACAUUGAGAGAAGAGUGAAACGGGACUAGCCUUAUAGGGGACUUCCUCGGAUACUUCUCAACUCAUAUCGGAGCAAGGUACUCCUUAUCCUACUGAGACUGAGACCGCAUGAAGCAAUACCACAUUCUCAAUACCCCGGCAGACACCGAUGUAGGGCUUCGUUCUUCUCUUGUUCCUCUUUCCAUACGAUAUCGAUCGAUCGAUCGUUCCAAUCAUGAGACUUUUCGUUCCACCCAUGUGUAAAAUUGACUGGACCUGUUUUACUUAAGGCUGAUGACUUUCCUGGCUUGGCUUUUGCUUUUGGGUCUAAGGCAAUACUUUUUUUUAUUCAGGAAGCGAGUCUAACUACCUUUACUCGGACUAUCUCACCUAACCGAGCUAAACAACGAUUUUUGGUACUAACCCAACUAAAAGGCUAUUCAACAGGGGCAACGUGUAUAUUGAAACCCUGAACUAUUUCUUUGACUUGAUGGAUAAAGGCUUUAGCGGCUAAUUGAGGGGCUACGUUGUCUUCGUUAUCACGCUUGCAAGAAGGCCAUCUUUCCGGCUUUCCCAGCUCUCUUCUCCCAAAGUCGAGAAAUGAUAUACCUUUCCUUUGAGAGUUCAUGUUGUCAGGANN
rnacentral:lncRNA from 1 species